GACGAACCGAGCGAACGUUAUUCGGAAUCACUGGGCUUAAAGGGCGCGUAGGGCGGGCGGCCAAGUCAGGGGUGAAAGCCCCCAGCUCAACUGGGGAAGUGCCUCUGAUACUGGUCAUCUCGAGGGAGAUAGGGGCGUGCGGAACUUCCGGUGGAGCGGUGAAAUGCGUAGAUAUCGGAAGGAACACCGGUGGCGAAAGCGGCGCGCUGGAUCUCUUCUGACGCUGAGGCGCGAAAGCCAGGGGA
rnacentral:rRNA from 1 species